UGGGGAAUAUUGCACAAUGGGCGGAAGCCUGAUGCAGCGACGCCGCGUGGGGGAUGAAGGCCUUCGGGUUGUAAACUCCUUUCGACAGGGACGAAGCUUUUGUGACGGUACCUGUAUAAGAAGCACCGGCUAACUACGUGCCAGCAGCCGCGGUAAUACGUAGGGUGCGAGCGUUGUCCGGAAUUACUGUGCGUAAAGAGCUCGUAGGUGGUUUGUCGCGUCGUCUGUGAAAUUCCGGGGCUUAACUCCGGGCGUGCAGGCGAUACGGGCUGACUUGAGUGCUGUAGGGGAGACUGGAAUUCCUGGUGUAGCGGUGAAAUGCGCAGAUAUCAGGAGGAACACCGAUGGCGAAGGCAGGUCUCUGGGCAGUAACUGACGCUGAGGAGCGAAAGCAUGGGUAGCGAACAGG
rnacentral:rRNA from 1 species